GUUGAGGUCCAUCCCGAUGGGGCUUUUUCCAUAGCCCUGCGUUGUUGGAACCGCCUCACAGAGCGACUGUGUGGUUUCCCUUACUCACAGAACUGCAUGACAGAUCUGUGGGAAAGGACUACAAGACAGCG
ensembl:snoRNA